rnacentral:rRNA from 1 species
GACGAACGCUGGCGGCGUGCUUAACACAUGCAAGUCGAACGAAGUGGCGAACGGGUGAGUAACGCGUAGUCAACCUGCCCUUCAGAGGGGGACAACAGUUGGAAACGACUGCAAAUACCGCAUACUGAAGGAGGGGAUUGCGGCUGAUUAGCUAGUUGGGGGGGUAACGGCCAACCAAGGCGAGGAUCAGUAGCCGGGCUGAGAGGAUGAACGGCCAAAUUGGGACUGAGACACGGCCCAGACUCCUACGGGAGGCAGCAGUGGGGAAUCUUCCGCAAUGGAGGAAAGUCUGACGGAGCAACGCCGCGUGAGUGAUGACGGCCUUCGGGUUGUAAAGCUCUGUUAAUCGGGACGCGGUACCGGAAUAGAAAGCCACGGCUAACUACGUGCCAGCAGCCGCGGUAAUUC